CAGCCGCCGCGGUAAUACCGGCGGCCCGAGUGGCGGUCACUAUUAUUGGGCUUAAAGCGUCCGUAGCCGGGUUGGGAAGUCCUCCGGGAAAUCUGGCCGCUUAAAGGUCAGAAUGCCGGAGGAUACUCCCAGCCUAGGGAGCGGGAGAGGCCGAGGGGAUUCCCGGAGUAGGGGUGAAAUCCUAUAAUCCCGGGAGGACCACCUGGGGCGAAGGCGCUCGGCUGGAACGCGGCCGACGGUGAGGGCCGAAGGCCAGGGGAGCAAACCGGAUUAGAUACCCGGGUAGUCCUGGCGGUAAACGAUGCGGACUUUGUGUCGGACAAGCUAUGAGCUUGUCCGGUGCCGGAGGGAAACCGUUAAGUCCGCCGCCUGGGGAGUACGGCCGCAAGGCUGAAACUUAAAGGAAUUGGCGGG
rnacentral:rRNA from 1 species